CAGUGAAGCCCCUCCCACAACAAUUCACCAAUAAACACUGGGAAUAUUCCCAACAUCCUAUAAGAGAAGGACAAACUCCAGGAGUAGCAGCUGAAAUCUGUGUGACUGUUAAAGAUGGAGUUUAUUAAAGAGGAGAUUGAAGACAUGAGUGAUCCAGAACCAUCCAGAAUAAAACAUGAAGAUACCGAGGAACAAAUAGACCAGGUGAGAGUGAAAGAGCAAAGACAAGAACUGAAUGAAGUGGAGGAGGAACAUCGUAAC